rnacentral:rRNA from 1 species
AUUGAACGCGGGCGGCAUGCUUUACACAUGCAAGUCGGACGGCAGCACAGAGAAGCUUGCUUCUUGGGUGGCGAGUGGCGAACGGGUGAGUAACAUAUCGGAACGUACCGGGCAGUGGGGGAUAACUAAUCGAAAGAUUAGCUAAUACCGCAUAUCUUCUGAGGAAGAAAGCAGGGGACCAUUUGGCCUUGCGCUGUUUGAGCGGCCGAUAUCUGAUUAGCUAGUUGGUGGGGUAAAGGCCUACCAAGGCGACGAUCAGUAGCGGGUCUGAGAGGAUGAUCCGCCACACUGGGACUGAGACACGGCCCAGACUCCUACGGGAGGCAGCAGUGGGGAAUUUUGGACAAUGGGCGCAAGCCUGAUCCAGCCAUGCCGCGUGUCUGAAGAAGGCCUUCGGGUUGUAAAGGACUUUUGUCAGGGAAGAAAAGGGCGGGGUUAAUACCCCUGUCUGAUGACGGUACCUGAAGAAUAAGCACCGGCUAACUACGUGCCAGCAGCCGCGGUAAUACGUAGGGUGCGAGCGUUAAUCGGAAUUACUGGGCGUAAAGCGGGCGCAGACGGUUACUUAAGCAGGAUGUGAAAUCCCCGGGCUCAACCUGGGAACUGCGUUCCGAACUGGGUGACUAGAGUGUGUCAGAGGGAGGUAGAAUUCCACGUGUAGCAGUGAAAUGCGUAGAGAUGUGGAGGAAUACCGAUGGCGAAGGCAGCCUCCUGGGAUAACACUGACGUUCAUGCCCGAAAGCGUGGGUAGCAAACAGG